UGAUCUGUCAUGUUUGCUUGCAUAAAGGCCAGCAAGAGCCAAUCCCUACCCGCCCCUGACCAGGAAAGGUACUGUCGGUCAUGGCCGCUCUGUGAAGAUGUCAAACGAAUCGGCGUUAGCCGAGAACAUCGGCAGAGCCGUCCUGGCGGCUAUACAAAAUUUUUCAACAGCGACAGCAACAGCCUCUGGGACACCACAGAACACCUCAGCUCCCACCACCUACAGUAACACACUGGGGCCAGCCACACCCACCACCUCCACUGGGACAUCAUAUCGCUCGGGCUCCAGCACCAGCGCUAACAUAC